rnacentral:rRNA from 1 species
GAGGAAUAUUGGGCAAUGCCCGCAAGGGUGACCCAGCAACGCCGCGUGGAGGAUGAAUGUCGUAAGAUUGUAAACUCCUGUUAGAGGGGAAGAAUAGUACCGGUUGGACCGGUAUAUGACUGUACCCUCAGAGAAAGCCCCGGCUAACUUCGUGCCAGCAGCCGCGGUAAUACGAAGGGGGCUAGCGCUGUUCGGAAUUACUGGGCGUAAAGCGCACGUAGGCGGAUCGAUCAGUUAGGGGUGAAAUCCCGGGGCUCAACCCCGGAACUGCCUCUAAGACUGUCGAUCUGGAGUUCGAGAGAGGUGAGUGGAAUUCCGAGUGUAGAGGUGAAAUUCGUAGAUAUUCGGAGGAACACCAGUGGCGAAGGCGGCUCACUGGCUCGAUACUGACGCUGAGGUGCGAAAGCGUGGGGAGC